AGUGAACGCUGGCGGUAGGCCUAACACAUGCAAGUCGAACGGCAGCACAGUAAGAGCUUGCUCUUACGGGUGGCGAGUGGCGGACGGGUGAGGAAUACAUCAGAAUCUACUUUUUCGUGGGGGAUAACGUAGGGAAACUUACGCUAAUACCGCAUACGACCUACGGGUGAAGGCAGGGGAUCUUCGGACCUUGCGCGAUUGAAUGAGCCGAUGUCGGAUUAGCUAGUUGGCGGGGUAAAGGCCCACCAAGGCGACGAUCCGUAGCUGGUCUGAGAGGAUGAUCAGCCACACUGGAACUGAGACACUGUCCAGACUCCUACGGGAGGCAGCAGUGGGGAAUAUUGGACAAUGGGCGCAAGCCUGAUCCAGCCAUACCGCGUGGGUGAAGAAGGCCUUCGGGUUGUAAAGCCCUUUUGUUGGGAAAGAAAAGCAGCAGGUUAAUACCCCGCUGUUCUGACGGUACCCAAAGAAUAAGCACCGGCUAACUUCGUG
rnacentral:rRNA from 1 species